UUAUGACCUUUACCCUCCAGCCUUGGCUUAAAACCUCAGCUCUAGGACCUGGUUUAAGGAUGGGGAGAUGGAGCUCGGCCCCAGCUCCUCCCCUCCCCUCACCUACCCGCGGGAGCUGGGCCAGGGCUCCUAGGUGGGGACUGGGCCAGUGGGGCCGGCACAAGCAGAGGUGGUGUCACUGAAAGGGCUUCCGGUGGGGUCUUGCUGAGAAGGUAAAGGAUUCCGCGCGCUGCAGCAGGUGGUGGUGGAGGAGCCAAGCGGCCAUAGAGCAAGGGGUAGCAACUUCCAGACCAUAGAGGCGGGCAGCAGCCACGGCCCCAGGUCCAGUUAGCUUCUCACCCACCUCAUCUCAUAGAACCGGGGUGGCCUCGCCAGGCGUGGGGGCACUGCCAGCUAUGUUGGCUCCAGGAAGCCAGCGCAGAGCUCUGAUGGGCUAGGGACCAGAAACCCAGGUGACCCAGAAACCCGGGUGGCCUGGGCCUCUCAAACAGCAGGUGAAGGUCCUGGGGCCCAGUGGCGGCGGCGGUGGCGGUGGCUGCAGCAUCCUCCUCCUUCCACUCUUCCUUUACCCACACGGAUUCCUUUGAUUAUUAUUUUUUCUUUACUAUUUUAUAGGUUUCACAUGGAUGUGUUUGCUCCAUACUUAACAAUAACUCUAGAAGAGAGGAUUAUUCUUAUUUCUAUUUUCGAGACAGGAAAACUGAGCUAUCUCUGGGAGAGUUGUUCCCUCAGCAGAAAGCUGGUGGUGGCUGAUGCCAGUGGAAGGGACCCGAGGAACCAUGUAUGCAUCUGUUGAGGGAAAAGCCAUCGCCCCUUUGCCUUGGGUGAGUAGCAUCUGAGGAUGGCUUCCUCCUGCAUUCUCGACAGCAAUGGAGUUAGUGCACUGUGACACUAGUCCUCUGGGAUGCAAUGACAUACACAUUGAUGGGAAUAUAUAUUAUUACAGUCACUAUGAAGUACAGUUUGGAGGUUCCUCCAAAAGCUAAAAAUAGAGCUACCAUGUGAUCCAGCAAUCAAAAUGUUAGGUAUAUACCCAAAAGAAAGAAAAUCAGCAUACAGAAGAGAUAUUUGCAUUCCCAUGUUUAUUACAGCGCUGUUCACAAUAGCCAAGAUUUGGAAGCAACAGACAGACAGACAAAGAAAAUGUGUUACGUAUGCACAAUGGAGUCCAAUUCAGCCACAGAAAUGAAUGAGAUCCUGUCAUUUGCAACAACAUGAAUGGAAUUGGAGAUGAUUAUGUUAAGUGAAAUAAGCCUGGCACUGAAACACAAACUUUGCAUGUUCUCACUUAGUGGUGAGAGCUACAAAUUAAAACGACUGAAUUCCUGGAGAUAAAGAGUAGAAUGAUGGUUACCAGAGGCUGGGAAGGGUUGGAUGGGGUAGAAGUGGGGAUGGUUUAAUAG
rnacentral:lncRNA from 1 species